rnacentral:misc_RNA from 1 species
GCAAACUUGGUCAUUUAGAGGAAGUAAAAGUCGUAACAAGGUUUCCGUAGGUGAACCUGCGGAAGGAUCAUCAUCGAAUUCAUAUCCUUCUCCGACCGGAGGAGGACCUAUGAUAAACCCUUAUGUGCACCGUAAACCGUUCACUUUGGCAGGCUUUAGUGGUGAGCGUGAGCUCGUCAACCUCGCGUUCCCUCCCUAGGGGGGUUGCGCGUGGCGGCCUGCCGGAGUCCUCCAAUGAAAAACACGUUUUCGAACACGACUGAAAUUUCCUUUGAGAAAUCAAAGAACCGAAAACAACUUUCAACAACGGAUCUCUUGGCUCUCGCAUCGAUGAAGAACGCAGC